CCUGGUUGAUCUUGCCAGUAGUCAUAUGCUUGUCUCAAACAUUAAGCCAUGCAUGUGUAAGUAUGAACUAAUUCAAAACGUGAAAUUGCGAAUGGCUCAUUAAAUCAGUUAUAGUUUGUUUGAUGGUACUUGCUACUCGGAUAACCGUAGUAAUUCUAGAAAUAAUACGUGCAACAAACCCCGACUUCUAGAAGGGAUGCAUUUGUUAGAUAAAAGGUCGACGCAGACCUAGUCUGUUGCUCUGAUGAUUCAUGAUAACUUGACGGAUCGCACAGCCUUUGUGCUGGCGAUGCAUCAUUCAAAUUUUUGCCCUAUCAACUUUCGAUGGUAGGAUAUUGGCCUACUAUGGUGGUGACGGGUGACGGAGAAUUAGGGUUUGAUUCUGGAGAGGGAGCCUGAGAAACGGCUACCACAUCCAAGGAAGGCAGCAGGGGAGGUAGUGACAAUAAAUAACAAUACCAGGCUCUUUGAGUCUGGUAAUUGGUAUGAGUACAAUCUAAAUCCCUUAACAAGUCUGGUGCCAGCAGCCGCGAUAAUUCCAGCUCCAAUAGCGUAUAUUUAAGUUGUUGUAGUUAAAAAGCUCGUAGUUGGAUCUCGGGAUAUGUCUAUCGGUCCACCUUAUGGUGUGCACCGUCAGUCGCGUCCUUUCUGCCGACGAUGAGUUCCUAGCCUUAAUUGGCCGCGUCGUUCCUCCGGCGCUAUUACUUUGAAGAAAUUAGAGUGCUCAAAGCAAGUCUUCGCUCUGUAUACAUUAGCAUGGGAUAACGUCAUAUGAUUUUGAUCCUAUUCUGUUGGCCUUCAGGAUCAGAGUAAUGAUUAACCAUGACAGUCGAGGUCAUUCGUACUUCAUAGUCAGAGGUGAAAUGCUUGGAUUUAUGAAAGACGAACAACUGCGAAAGCAUUUGCCAAGGAUUUUUUCACUAAUCAAGAAUGAAAGUUGGGGGCUCAAAGACGAUCAGAUACCAGUCUCAACCAUAAAUGAUGCGACUAGGAAUCGGUGAAUGUUGCUAAUAGGACAUAGCCAGCACCUUUCUAAGAAAUCAAAGUCUUUGGGUUCUGGGGGGAGUAUGGUCGCAAGGCUAAAGGAAUUGACAGAAGGGCACCACCAGGAGUGGAGCCUGGUGCUUAAUUUGACUCAACAUGGGAAACUUACCAGGUCCAGACAUAGUAAGGAUUGACAGACUGAGAGCUCUUUCUUUCUUUUUUUGAUAAGUAUGUGUUAAAUAAAUAAAGAUGAAAAUCAAUAAAGCAAUUCAAUUGUGGCUGGAUGGACAGAACCAUGAUUAGGCAUCUUCCCAUCAACCACCACAGAGGGUGUAUGCAAGUAACUUAAUCUCGUAUGUGGAGAUACAAAAGUAAAGGCACUGUUAGACGCCUGCAGAUUCUAGUCUUUCAGCCAGAGAGGGAAAGAUUAGGAAGAGUAUUUUAAAUACUUUCCUUUUAUGCUAGCGGCAACCUGAGCCGGGUCUUGGUAGUUGCUAUCAAAACAUCAUGCAUUUCGGGCUGACCAGAUAUGGUAGACUGAGAAAGCGAGCACGGUUUUUAAGAUUUUGCCAGCCCUGUUAUACUUCUGGCCGGAUUUGGUGGACCACUUAAGGGCGUUGGCCACUGUGGAAAGGUGCCUUUCUAAGCCAAAUCUGGCCUUGAUGGAGGACCAGACUUCGGAUGAGAAGUUGCAAUAAAAAA
rnacentral:rRNA from 1 species